GAUGAAUGCUGGCGGCGUGCCUAACACAUGCAAGUCGAGCGGUAACAGGAGUAGUUUACUACUUGCUGACGAGCGGCGGACGGCUGAGUAACGCGUGGGAACGUGCCCCAAAGUGAGGAAUAACUGCCCGAAAGGGUAGCUAAUACCGCAUAUGAUCUUCGGAUUAAAGGAUUUAUCCGCUUUGGGAGCGGCCCGCGUCGGAUUAGGUAGUUGGUGAGGUAAUGGCUCACCAAGCCCACGAUCCGUAGCUGGUCUGAGAGGAUGAUCAGCCAGACUGGAACCGAGACACGGUCCAGACUCCUACGGGAGGCAGCAGUGAGGAAUCUUCCACAAUGGGCGAAAGCCUGAUGGAGCAACGCCGCGUGCAGGAUGAAGGCCUUCGGGUCGUAAACUGCUUUUAUAAGUGAAGAAUAUGACGGUAGCUUAUGAAUAAGCACCGGCUAACUACGUGCCAGCAGCCGCAGUAACA
rnacentral:rRNA from 1 species